rnacentral:rRNA from 1 species
AACGGCCUACCAAGGCGACGACGGGUAGCCGGCCUGAGAGGGUGUCCGGCCACACUGGGACUGAGAUACGGCCCAGACUCCUACGGGAGGCAGCAGUGGGGAAUAUUGCACAAUGGGCGCAAGCCUGAUGCAGCGACGCCGCGUGGGGGAUGACGGCCUUCGGGUUGUAAACCUCUUUCACCAUCGACGAAGGUUCGGGUUUUCUCGGAUUGACGGUAAAUGGAGAAGAAGCACCGGCCAACUACGUGCCAGCAGCCGCGGUAAUACGUAGGGUGCGAGCGUUGUCCGGAAUUACUGGGCGUAAAGAGCUCGUAGGUGGUUUGUCGCGUUGUUCGUGAAAUCUCACGGCUUAACUGUGAGCGUGCGGGCGAUACGGGCAGACUAGAGUACUGCAGGGGAGACUGGAAUUCCUGGUGUAGCGGUGGAAUGCGCAGAUAUCAGGAGGAACACCGGUGGCGAAGGCGGGUCUCUGGGCAGUAACUGACGCUGAGGAGCGAAAGCGUGGGGAGCGAACAGGAUUAGAUACCCUGGUAGUCCACGCCGUAAACGGUGGGUACUAGGUGUGGGUUUCCUUCCUUGGGAUCCGUGCCGUAGCUAACGCAUUAAGUACCCCGCCUGGGGAGUACGGCCGCAAGGCUAAAACUCAAAGGAAUUGACGGGGGCCCGCACAAGCGGCGGAGCAUGUGGAUUAAUUCGAUGCGACGCGAAGAACCUUACCUGGGUUUGACAUGCACAGGACUCGUCUAGAGAUAGGCGUUCCCUUGUGGCCUGUGUGCAGGUGGUGCAUGGCUGUCGUCAGCUCGUGUCGUGAGAUGUUGGGUUAAGUCCCGCAACGAGCGCAACCCUUGUCUCAUGUUGCCAGCACGUAAUGGUGGGGACUCGUGAGAGACUGCCGGGGUCAACUCGGAGGAAGGUGGGGAUGACGUCAAGUCAUCAUGCCCCUUAUGCCCAGGGCUUCACACAUGCUACAAUGGCCGGUACAAAGGGCUGCGAUGCCGCGAGGUUAAGCGAAUCCUUUAAAGCCGGUCUCAGUUCGGAUCGGGGUCUGCAACUCGACCCCGUGAAGUCGGAGUCGCUAGUAAUCGCAGAU